rnacentral:lncRNA from 1 species
CAGGGAAACGGAGACGCCAGUCCUACAACCUCAGGGAAAUAAAAUCUGCCAACAACCCGAGUGAGGAGGAAACGGAUCCUCCCCCAUGGCUUCCAGAAAGGAACACAGCCUGCGGACGCCUGUUUAAGGGGGGUGAGCCCCGUGUUGGACUUCUGGCCUCCAGGACUGGCGCUGUGCGUGGCCGAGGGUCCACCGUGGAUGACCGGGGGCUCUGCUGUGGACAGUGAGUGACCACCAUGGACAAGUGUGUGUUUGUCUGUGGACACGGUCGUUCCCCUGUCCCCUGACUGCCCCCCACUUGUUACCGGGAGGUCUGGAGGUUGGGUGGGGCCUGUCCUGCCUCCCUCAGCCCCUGCUCCUUCUCUCUGAACCUCUGGUGUCGGAGCCCACAGAGUCCUCCAAAGGAUGUGGGUCUCAUGGGAGCUGCAGGGGGCCCCCAAGCUGGGACCCUGCUGACCUCAUGACCUUUAGAAAUGGAUGGACAGCCUCAACUCAGACGGAAGAUUCACUCCUGAACCAGAGCUUAUCGUUGGCUCACAUGCGACGUGUCAUUUCCAUGUUAUUCUUGUUUAUUUUCCAUCACAUCUGCAAGGGCAGAGAUUUUCACCUGUUCUGUUC